rnacentral:tRNA from 1 species
AAGGAUUUAAGUUAAGAAAACUAUUAACCUUCAAAGUUAAAAAUAGGUUGAAAGUCUAAGCCUUA